rnacentral:rRNA from 1 species
AGAUUGAACGCUGGCGGCAGGCCUAACACAUGCAAGUCGAGCGGUAGAGAGGUGCUUGCAUCUCUUGAGAGCGGCGGACGGGUGAGUAAUGCCUAGGAAUCUGCCUAGUGGUGGGGGAUAACGUUCGGAAACGGACGCUAAUACCGCAUACGUCCUACGGGAGAAAGCGGGGGACCUUCGGGCCUCGCGCCAUUAGAUGAGCCUAGGUCGGAUUAGCUAGUUGGUGAGGUAAUGGCUCACCAAGGCGACGAUCCGUAACUGGUCUGAGAGGAUGAUCAGUCACACUGGAACUGAGACACGGUCCAGACUCCUACGGGAGCAGCAGUGGGAAUAUGGACAA